AAUUAUUCCGUUUAAAAAUUUGAUAGUCAUUCAAAUCUCAUUUUGUUGCGGAAAAUUUAAAUUAUUUGAAAUACAAGUGAUUAUUGUUUUAUAUUUACAACUUAAGACUAAAUACAAAAGAUGCGAUGGAACUUUGUUGCAAUAUCUUUGGUGACUAUUUUAUCAAGUUCAAAAAGCGUUACAAUAGAUAGCAACGAUAGCCCAACUCAAUUAUGUUAUAGAGACUACUUUUCUUUAGCUCAAGAAAACUGCUCUUCCAAUUUAACUACUAACUCUGGCUCCAAUGUUGGCUCUGGCCUUACUCAAGGUUUUACCACAUGUGUCACUCCUCCAUGCAGUACAAUGAUAGUACCAUCUCCGGAGGAAUGCCAAACGUAUAUUUCUCUUUUUAAAGCAAUUAUAGGAGUUAGUUUUUGCGACGGGUAUUUACAAAUGUUAAACAGUAUAAGCGAAUUUAUAAAUUUUUCAAUAUGUUGCGAAUAAGUUAACAAACAAUAACUCCACUACAUUUACUUACACAUCAUUAAGAACAGUUUUUAUAUUGUAAACAAUUAAUGUUGAGAUGUUUUUAAAUUUUAAAAAAAUUGUUGGGGAAUCAGGAUGGAGAAAAUUAGGCGGUAGAAUAAUUUGAUUUUAAAAGAGGAAGAUUGAGAAAGCGGUGGGUUAGAAAGAAGUUAAAUCAUGUUUAUGAUUGUUUUUACACUUUGAAAUCUUUAUGUUAUAAUAAUAAUGUUGUUCUAUAAUAACAUAUGUUGUGUUAUAAUAAUAUACAUUGGUAAUUACUUUUAA